GUUUGAUUCAACUUUUCCCAACUUUGUCAAAUAAGGGGAGACAACUAAAAUGGAAAGGCAGAUAAUUCAGAUAGUGUUAUUUUUACAAUAGAAUGUGUUAGGAAUUUAUCCAUUUUAUUAUGUAGCAAGAAAACGAGUCCGGUGACCCUGUUUUUUCUUUUUCUUAUCUGAAAGCAUAAUAUUGGAGCUAUCUUCUCAUAUUUUAUCUCAAAAUUAUAUAGUGUAUUUUUC
rnacentral:lncRNA from 1 species